rnacentral:rRNA from 1 species
GUGGGGAAUAUUGGACAAUGGGCGAAAGCCUGAUCCAGCCAUGCCGCGUGUGUGAAGAAGGUCUUCGGAUUGUAAAGCACUUUAAGUUGGGAGGAAGGGCAGUAAGUUAAUACCUUGCUGUUUUGACGUUACCAACAGAAUAAGCACCGGCUAACUUCGUGCUAGCAGCCGCGGUACUACGAAGGGUGUAAGCGUUAAUCGGAAUUACUGGGCGUAAAGCGCGCGUAGGUGGUUUUGUAAGUUGGAGGUGAAAUCCCCGGGCUCAACCUGGGAACUGCCUCCAAAACUGCAUGACUAGAGUACGGUAGAGGGUAGUGGAAUUUCCUGUGUAGCGGUGAAAUGCGUAGAUAUAGGAAGGAACACCAGUGGCGAAGGCGACUACCUGGACUGAUACUGACACUGAGGUGCGAAAGCGUGGGGAGCAAACAGGAUUAGAUACCCUUGUAGUCC